AGAGUUUGAUCCUGGCUCAGGAUGAACGCUGGCGGCGUGCCUAAUACAUGCAAGUCGAACGCUUCACUUCGGUGAAGAGUGGCGAACGGGUGAGUAAUACAUAAGUAACCUGGCAUCUACAGGGGGAUAACUGAUGGAAACGUCAGCUAAGACCGCAUAGGUGUAGAGAUCGCAUGAACUCUAUAUGAAAAGUGCUACGGGACUGGUAGAUGAUGGACUUAUGGCGCAUUAGCUGGUUGGUAGGGUAACGGCCUACCAAGGCGACGAUGCGUAGCCGACCUGAGAGGGUGACCGGCCACACUGGGACUGAGACACGGCCCAGACUCCUACGGGAGGCAGCAGUGGGGAAUUUUGGACAAUGGGGGCAACCCUGAUCCAGCCAUGCCGCGUGCGGGAAGAAGGCCUUCGGGUUGUAAACCGCUUUUGUCAGGGACGAAAAGCUCCGGAGUAAUAUGCCGGAGUGCUGACGGUACCUGAAGAAUAAGCACCGGCUAACUACGUGCCAGCAGCCGCGGUAAUACGUAGGGUGCGAGCGUUAAUCGGAAUUACUGGGCGUAAAGCGUGCGCAGGCGGUUGGGUAAGACAGAUGUGAAAUCCCCGGGCUUAACCUGGGAACUGCAUUUGUGACUGUCCGACUGGAGUACGUCAGAGGGGGGUGGAAUUCCACGUGUAGCAGUGAAAUGCGUAGAUAUGUGGAAGAACACCGAUGGCGAAGGCAGCCCCCUGGGACGCAACUGACGCUCAUGCACGAAAGCGUGGGGAGCAAACAGGAUUAGAUACCCUGGUAGUCCACGCCCUAAACGAUGUCUGCUGGUUGUUGGGAAUUUAAUUCUCAGUAACGAAGCCAACGCGUGAAGCAGACCGCCUGGGGAGUACGGUCGCAAGAUUAAAACUCAAAGGAAUUGACGGGGACCCGCACAAGCGGUGGAUGAUGUGGAUUAAUUCGAUGCAACGCGAAAAACCUUACCCAGCCUUGACAUGUCAGGAAUGCUUCGGAGAUGAGGCAGUGCCCG
rnacentral:rRNA from 1 species